GACGAACGCUGGCGGCGUGCUUAACACAUGCAAGUCGAACGGAAAGGCCCUGCUUUUGUGGGGUGCUCGAGUGGCGAACGGGUGAGUAACACGUGAGUAACCUGCCCUUGACUUUGGGAUAACUUCAGGAAACUGGGGCUAAUACCGGAUAGGAGCUCCUGCUGCAUGGUGGGGGUUGGAAAGUUUCGGCGGUUGGGGAUGGACUCGCGGCUUAUCAGCUUGUUGGUGGGGUAGUGGCUUACCAAGGCUUUGACGGGUAGCCGGCCUGAGAGGGUGACCGGCCACAUGGGGACUGAGAUACGGCCCAGACCCCUACGGGAGGGAGCGGGGGGGAAUAUUGCACAAGGGGCGGAAGCCUGAUGCAGCACCGCCGCGGGGGGGAUGACGGCCUUCGGGUGGUAAACCGCUUUCGCCUGGGAAGAAGCGGGGGUGACGGUAAUGGGUAAAGAAGCCCCGGCUAACUACGU
rnacentral:rRNA from 1 species